rnacentral:rRNA from 1 species
CCUACGGGUGGCAGCAGUCGAGAAUCAUUCACAAUGGGGGAAACCCUGAUGGUGCGACGCCGCGUGGGGGAAUGAAGGUCUUCGGAUUGUAAACCCCUGUCAUGUGGGAGCAAAUUAAAAAGAUAGUACCACAAGAGGAAGAGACGGCUAACUCUGUGCCAGCAGCCGCGGUAAUACAGAGGUCUCAAGCGUUGUUCGGAAUCACUGGGCGUAAAGCGUGCGUAGGCUGUUUCGUAAGUCGGGUGUGAAAGGCGCGGGCUCAACCCGCGGCGGGCACAUGAUACUGGGGGACUAGAGUAAUGGAGGGGGAAGCGGAAUGCGCGGUGGAGCAGUGAAAUGCGUAGAUAUCGCGCGGAACA